AUUUUGGGUAGCUGAGUCCCUCUGGACUCGUCGUCGCUUCCUCGCCCCUUUCGAACCCCUGCUUCAACACCUUUGUGUUCUCCAAGCAGCUCCCUUUGGUCGAUGGAAAGACAGACUGUAACUCCCAUGCAUGGCCUCCGCCAUCACGUUGUAGGGUUUGCACCGAUUCUGUUCUCCUUAGCUUCCUUGGUAGCAACGUUCGCUUACUCGACCUUGUC
rnacentral:lncRNA from 1 species